AGUCGCAAGCUCGCGAGAGUAAGCUAAUCUCUUAAAGCCGUUCUCAGUUCGGACUGUAGGCUGCAACUCGCCUACACGAAGUCGGAAUCGCUAGUAAUCGCGGAUCAGCAUGCCGCGGUGAAUGCGUUCCCGGGCCUUGUACACACCGCCCGUCACACCAUGGGAGUUUGUAACGCCCAAAGUCGGUGGCCUAACCUUUAUGGAGGGAGCCGCCUAAGGCGGGACAGAUGACUGGGGUGAAGUCGUAACAAGGUAAC
rnacentral:rRNA from 1 species